AUUGAACGCUGGCGGCAGGCUUAACACAUGCAAGUCGAGCGAGCGGCGGACGGGUGAGUAAUGUCUGGGAAACUGCCUGAUGGAGGGGGAUAACUACUGGAAACGGUAGCUAAUACCGCAUACCGGCAGCAGGCCCCAGAUGGGCUUAGCUAGUGGGUGGGGUAAUGGCGCACCUAGGAGACGACCCCUAACUGGUCUGAGAGGAUGACCAGCCACACUGGAACUGAGACACGGUCCAGAUUCCUACGGGAGGCAGCAGUGGGGAAUAUUGCACAAUGGGCGCAAGCCUGAUGCAGCCAUGCCGCGUGUGUGAAGAAGGCCUUCGGGUUGUAAAGCACUUUCAGCGAGGAGGCGUUACUCGCAGAAGAAGCACCGGCUAACUCCGUGCCAGCAGCCGCGGUAAUUC
rnacentral:rRNA from 1 species